rnacentral:lncRNA from 1 species
AGAGGGACGAAAGAUACCAAAGGGACAGUCAAACUCAUAAAUCUAAAACAAACUGACAACGCCAUUGCUAAAAAUGAAAAAGACAAACAGAAAAACAAUAGUAAACAUGACACAACAUAGAAAACUAAAGAAUAAACAACACGAACCCCACCAAAAACUAGGGGUGAUCUCAGGUGCUCCAGAAGGGUAAGCAGAUCCUGCUCCACAUGUGGCACCCGUCGUGUUGCUUAUGUGAUUACAAAUCCGG